rnacentral:lncRNA from 1 species
AGCAGAUUCUGUUCCAAGCUGAAACAUCUGGAUCUGACCUCCUGUGUGUCUAUUACAAACAGCUCCUUGAAGGGGAUCAGGUAAGAGUGCCCAUUGUUUGUGUCAAGAGAAAUACCCAAAGCUAUGAACAUUCUGGAAACCUUCUUAAUGGUCACGUUGGAUCCAGCAAGAAAUAGGUGACUCCAAGAGGUCCCAGGCAUGGUCUCCCCUUCGGAAUUUCUUGUGAUGUACUAAACUCAGAGUUGGUCAUUAACUCUCUACAGGAGAGACUGCACAUAAGUUUUUGUUUCUUGUUCUCUCAGUGAGGGCUGCCGAAACCUGGAGUACCUGAACCUCUCUUGGUGUGAUCAGAUCACGAAGGAUGGCAUCGAGGCACUGGUGCGAGGUUGUCGAGGCCUGAAAGCCCUGCUCCUGAGGGGCUGCACACAGUUAGAAGAUGAAGCUCUGAAACACAUUCAGAAUUACUGCCAUGAGCUUGUGAGCCUCAACUUGCAGUCCUGCUCAGUA